rnacentral:rRNA from 1 species
GACAGAGGGUGCGAACGUUGUUCGGAAUUACUGGGCGUAAAGAGCGUGUAGGCGGCUCUGCAAGUCGGGCGUGAAAUCCCACGGCUCAACCGUGGAAGUGCACUCGAAACUGCAGAGCUAGAGUCCUGGAGAGGAAGGUGGAAUGCUUGGUGUAGAGGUGAAAUUCGUAGAUAUCAAGCGGAACACCGGUGGCGAAGGCGGCCUCUGGACAGUGACUGACGCUUAAGCGCGAAAGCGUGGGGAGCAAACAGG